rnacentral:rRNA from 1 species
AGUGAACGUUGGCGGCGUGGAUUAGGCAUGCAAGUCGAGCGAGAACCGUAGCAAUACGGGGACAGCGGCGAAAGGGACAGUAAUGUGUAGGUACCUACCCCCGGGUUCGGGAUAGCUGCGGGAAACUGCAGGUAAUACCGAAUAAUGUCUCCGGACCAAAGGUGUGAUCCCACCUGGGGAGGGGCCUGCAUCCUAUUAGCUUGUUGGUGGGGUAACGGCCUACCAAGGCGACGAUGGGUAGCGGGUGUGAGAGCAUGACACGCGUCAUUGGGGCUGAGACACGGCCCAGACCCCUACGGGUGGCUGAAGUCGAGGAUCUUCGGCAAUGGGCGCAAGCCUGACCGAGCGACGCCGCGUGCGGGAUGAAGGCCUUCGGGUUGUAAACCGCUGUCGUAGAGGAGGAAAUGCAGGAGGGUUCUCCCUCCUGUUUGACCUAUUCUAGGAGGAAGUACGGGCUAAGUUCGUGCCAGCAGCCGCCGUAA